GAAUCUUCAGCUGUUCACCUUGAGUAAUACCAUGGGGCCAGAAUUUGUCUCUGCAACUUGGUUCAAUAUUGAAAUGGAAGGAGACAAAAUGAGCAGGUGCAUCGUGUAGGGAUGACUCCCAGUUAAAGUGCCUAUAGUUUCUUUGUUACAAGGACAGAUAUUGGCCCAUGAUAUCGUGAAGGAGAAAAGCAGAGUCAUGAUCCUGCCUCAUUUUUUGUACAAGGCAACUCUGUUUUCCUGCUCCAGUGGGGAGACCGUAUCUUGAGACAAGACCGACCUCUGAAAGUUCAGCUAUGGCACUUAUUUUACCUUUUCCAGUUUGAACUCAUUUGUCAUUAGGCAACAAAAUUUUUGUAGCAAAAAUUUCCAAGCAGUUCUCUCCCUGCCUCUGAAGUCUGGGAAGCUCUGGAGCUGCUGCAAUGUGUGGCAGCACAAUGUGGUCACCCUGGAUGCUGUGUACUUGACACCAGGUCUGGCACAAUGACUCUGGUCUGACAGCUGGUGGCAGGUCCUUUGUGAAGUCCUGCACCAUUUCCACUCAACUCCAUUGCCCAACAUUGGACAUGCUUUAAGACCCUUUCUAGCACAGUCUGAUCAUCGUUUAGGUUUUCAUGUUCUUUGCCAAAUGAUGCAAAUACUCUGCAUAUGGAGAAAUGCACUGGAAUGUGUAAUACAAGAA